AAGUAACCUAUCUUCGCCAGAUACCUAUAAUCGGCGGCUAUUGCACGAAGCACAAGACAAUUUUGCACAAAACUAACUACAUGGAUCUACAGAUGGGUAAGAAAGUAACAGCUCCCCAAAAUUUGGAAAGAAUAACUUGCUUGCGGAGGGAAUGGUGGUCAUGAGAAAUGAGCUGCCGAAUGUAUCGAUAAUCGUCAGUGAGACAUUUAUCUCCGUCUUUGCACGCUUACCAAGCACUGAAACUACCAACACUAAACAAUGCUUCUUGGCACAACUCUAACUAGUGAGCACUACUUGCAGGCAAAGCAUGCAGCGUUAGCUGCAGAUCGAGCCCCACCCAGCUAGGCAUGACGUAGCCUCGAUCCCAGGCCGAGUUUUCGCUUUUAUAACGGUUAGGCGAACAACUGGGCCUGGUACUAGUUGUCUGCGCAUGCGUCAAUCGUUUGUCAGAUUCUGACGAAUGGAUAUUCUCGUUCACUUUCGUGACAUUUAUAUUCGUGUACUAUCGUGUACUAGAAGUCAGUUCCCGUUUUAUCAUUAUUGGAAUCGAUUGGAAUGGCUCUUAGCUGAAGCUUCUCUCUUCUCUGAAGCUUAUUCUGAAGACUGAACAACAAGGGAAGAGGUAUAAAGCUUUGUCAAGCUUGUUAAGGUCAGAUAUUUUUGUGUGGGCCCUAUGGCCGGCUAUGCUAUCAAGUCUUGUUCAUGUUUGGCAAGAAUGUAGGUAGACUAUAGUUUCAUCAUUAAUAUGGUGGAUCAAGUGAAGAGUGUGAGCUAGAGAACUUGGUGCUGCCAUCAUCAGCUCGUCGACAAUGACACUAUAACCGAGAAAUUUAAUAUGUAUAGAUCUACACGUAUUUAAAAUGUCUACUUCUCUGUACAGGAGCAAUGGCUAAUAUCCAGCUAUCCCAACAGUGCUCCUCUUGGCUAUACUAACGGACGAGACUGGACAGUUUGAGACACAGGACUGGAGUAUGACCUGCUCAUUCGAGCGUUGCUGGGUAGCUCAGAGACAUCAAGAGAAUCUACGUUUUCUCAAGCAAUGAGUUACGAGUUGGGGCCUAGAAUCAGAGAAGUCCAGCAGCCUGCUAAAUCUUUUUGAAACGUAAUUUGAAGGCAUUCAAUCAUCCUGAAGUUGCCCUGGGUCACUGUAAUUGUGCUGCAGCACAACUGGCAACUCCCCAGGCCUUUGUGAAGCAGCUCCCUAUGUGCAUCUUUUGUGUACUCACUCUGUGCAUUUUUUCUGUGUACAAAUUUCUAUUAUUGAUUUAUUAAAUAUUUUUGCCGACCACAAAUAUACAAUGAAAAUUUGACGCAUG